rnacentral:snoRNA from 11 species
CUGCCAGUAGAAUGAAGUCUGCUUAACCUUUUAAAUGUUCUGCGGAGAUCUAAAUGCUGGCAACAGUAAAGCCAGGGUACGAGCCUUGAAGACUUAGUAGUCAUCGAGGUCCCAAUAAAUGGCUACACUU